UACGAGGGGGGCAAGCGUUGUUCGGAAUUACUGGGCGUAAAGGGCGUGUAGGCGGUACCAUAAGUCAGAUGUGAAAGCCCUAGGCUUAACCUAGGAGGUGCAUUUGAUACUGUGGAACUAGAGAUCGAGAGAGGAAAGUGGAAUUACGAGUGUAGAGGUGAAAUUCGUAGAUAUUCGUAAGAACACCAGUGGCGAAGGCGACUUUCUGGCUCGAUACUGACGCUAAGGCGCGAAAAGCGUGGGGAGCAAACAGGG
rnacentral:rRNA from 1 species